GAUGAAGAACGUAGCGAAAUGCGAUAAGUAAUGUGAAUUGCAGAAUUCAGUGAAUCAUCGAAUCUUUGAACGCACCUUGCGCUCCUUGGUAUUCCUUGGAGCAUGCCUGUUUGCGUAUCAUGAAAUUCUCAAAACAAACCUUUUGUUAAUUCAUUGGGUUCUGUUUUGGACUUGGAGGCCUUGCGGAUUCACGUCUGCUCCUCUUAAAAGCAUUAGCUGGAUCUCAGUGAGCUCGGUUCCACUCGGCGUGAUAAGUAUCACUCGCUGAGGACACCCGUAAAAAAGGUGGCCGGGAUUUGCAGAUGAACCGCUUCUAAUAGUCCAUUGAAUUGGACAACAUACUUUAUGAUCUGAUCUCAAAUCAGGUAGGACUACCCGCUGAACUUAAGCAUAUCAAUAAGCGGAGGA
rnacentral:misc_RNA from 1 species